rnacentral:rRNA from 1 species
UACGGGGGGUGCGAGCGUUGUCCGGAAUCACUGGGCGUAAAGAGCUCGUAGGUGGCUUGUCGCGUUGUUCGUGAAAACCGGGGGCUUAACCCUCGGCGUGCGGGCGAUACGGGCAGACUUGAGUACUGCAGGGGAGACUGGAAUUCCUGGUGUAGCGGUGGAAUGCGCAGAUAUCAGGAGGAACACCGGUGGCGAAGGCGGGUCUCUGGGCAGUAACUGACGCUGAGGAGCGAAAGCGUGGGGAGCGAACAGG